CAGCUACUCGGGAGGCCAAGGUGGGAGGAUCACUUGAGGCCUGGAAUUUGAGACUAGCCUGGG
rnacentral:precursor_RNA from 1 species